GCCUGCCGGGGGAGCUGUUCUGUGCCGGAACUGCCCCAGCCCCAGCUCUGUGUGUGUCUCUGCCCUCACCCUCUGCAACCCCAGCCUGUCCCCAGCAGACCCGUGCUGGGGCAGUGCUCGGUGCUGUGCCUGCUGCUCUCCCCACUCGCUGCACACUCGAUUCCAGACGACGCUGUCGAGGUUCCUUGUCGAUAUUUUACUUUUUAUUAGAACUGUGGCUUCUCAGAACUCCUCGUUGCUUCUCCAGAUGCCAAUAAACACGAAGCCAAUCUCCACCAGCGUGGCUCAUCUUCCUCAGAGAACCUGGCUCAGUGUCUCCCGGAGUCAAUGUGAGUCUUUCCACCGUUUCCAGUGGGUGUCAAGUCCAGCUCUUGUUUAGGCUGAGAUGGCAGGCGCCGGCUCUGAAUGGGCUUUGAGUGCUGUACACGGAGCACGAGGGGAUCCUUCUUCAUCUCAAGUCCCCCGAGAGCUCUCCUAGCAGCGAUGGUGAACUCAUCCCAAAUAAAUUCAGAUGAAACCCAUUAUAUUUUGGGUUUGAAGGGGAGCAGACAAAACCUGGAUUGCUGUGACUGCAAUUGUCUCUGAGAGCUCUGUGCUUUGUGCAGGCAGUUUAGGAGGUGGAAAAGGCUGGAGUGGUGCGUAUGGUUUCUUAAAGGCUGAGAAUAUUGAUAAACUUGGUGGCAAACCGGGUAGUUGAAAUAUUUUUAGUUCCUCCACUGUGGUGUUUGCUCCCAAAGGUUCCCAGAGCAGCACUAACACAGCCAGUGGGGCAGCUAAGGGUGGCUUUUAUCCUCUGCUGACUAACACGCUGCAGCCAGAUGGAAUGGAAUAAAUCUCUUCUUACACACAACCAAGCCAAAACAAAUAUUAUGCAAUGAUUAAGUGGCAACCCAAACAGAAGCAGGCGUCCUGUGGGCUGAAACAGGAAAUCUUGGGUUACAAAACUCAAGAUAUGUGAAUUUAAUUUGAUUAUAUGUUUGAUGGCUAUCUGGAGUGGGCCAUGAAUAAUUGAUGAAAACUAGAAAAGCUGCUGUUUGCCUUUAAAAUCAAGCUGAAGAAAGUAGGAGCUGAGUGUUUAGGAGCAUAAUUACUGUUUGCAUGGGUCACAUGAGGGGUCCCCGCUGUCCCUGGUGGUGACCAGCAGCGGGAGCUGAUGGAAGGGCAAAUGUGGAAUUCUCCCUGUGUGGCUGCAUUAGUGAUUUAGCAUCAAUUGAGCGAGGAGGAGGAACAGCAAAGUUCUUCAGCUCCUCUGGGGCUGAGCUGGAGCAGGAACCUCCUGAAACUUGGUAGGUGCUGUUUUCUGCCUUCACCUGGUGCAGAGUGGGAGCAGAACCUGCUGCUGGGACUAAACUUAAGGUUGGAAGAGACCCCCAAGAUCACCAAGUCCAACUCCUCGUGCUCUGCAGCUCCUAGUGUCUCUCCAGAAGAUGCAACGACCUGAACUUUGCUGGUGGUGCCACUGAAACCUGGGUCCUUCCCACUUCAUUCCAGCUGGCAGAGGCAGCCCUGGGCUAGAUUUUAGGAGGAGGUUCUCGGCCGUGGGGCUGGUGAGGCGUUGGCACAGGUUGUCCAGGUGCUCCACAUCCUCACUCACCACGGAGGGGGCUGCAGUGCCAGGGGUUACCUGGCAGGGAGUCCUUGCUGCUGCAUGGAGAUAAAGGUAGAAGAGGGAUGACGGGUAAACAUCCUUAAAACAAAAUGAUCAUAAAACUUGGAUUUAUUCUGAGCGUUGGAAGGAGAAAACAGCCCAAGGCAGGAGGGGAGGGAGAAAGCUUUGGUUGCUUCAGGAAGCUGAGGGGAGCUGUGCAGAGUGUUGUUCCAGAGGUGUGACCUGUGUGGAGAAGGGGAUAAGCUGCUCUCAGCUGAGGUGAGUGUUAAACCCCACGGGCUCUCAUGGAGACGUUCCAGCACCCACACCCCCGAGAUCCGACCUCAGCUGCAUCCCAGGGAGACCUGAGCAAGGGGGGGAACAAAAGCCUGUCUUUAGAAUACUUUAAACUUCUUAACCCAGGUGCAAAGCACAGGUAGAAAUGAAACAGCAGCCCGAGGAUCUCAGUCAGAAACCAAACAAAUGGACUAGAUGUGGGAAAACAGCCUGGCCUUGUUCACUGCUUUGCUCCAGCCAAAGGAGGAGAGAGGUUAGCAGUGAUUACUCUUGGGUUCCUAUUUGGAUACUUCCACAAUGGCAUAACAGCCAAAUGGAAAGUCUGGACUAAUUUAGGCUGUUUUUAUGAGAGUGGCAAAAAAAUUAUUGUGUGUUAGGCCAGAUGGCUGAAAACAGGCCACUGAGUUGAUUUAUUCCUUUGCAGAUGCUGGGGUAGCCAGGAAAAAAAAAAAAUCCAAAAGAUUUUCAAAGCAUUCCAAAAGCAAAAGGGUUCUUUACUGAGGUUAACUGGUGGCUCUGGGCUCUGGUGGGGUUGAGAUAAACUGGGGGUGGGCUCAUACAUACCAGUGUAGAAGCAGCUGGAUGUUCACAGGUGUUUUCUCAGAGUUGAUGUCCCACUGCCAUAACGCUUCUCUUCAUCAAAUCCCUUCUGAAAAUUGAUGCUUGCACUGAAGACACCACUCCCACGGUGUUGUGAUCGUGUGGACCAGCUGGCAGUCACGGAUUUGGUACCAGUGUGGUCCCCAGUGAGCUUGGGCAGCCCAAAUUUUGGCCAAGUUUCUGUCAGACAGGAGCACACAGCACUGGGGCUGCUGUUUAAUAAUCAGGUUUUUAUUGUUUACAGGUUGCAAACACAGAAGCACUUGGUUCAAGAUGAAGGGAGAAGAAGAAAAAAUGAUCCUGAAUGUCCUGGACUGAAAUAAGGCAAAAUGUCCUGGUUACUUUCAAUAUUACCAUUUCUCUGUCUUUUUAGGUCCAUUCUGUAAUCCAUCUGUCUUUACUGAUUUAUUUUCCCCAGGACUUUAUAUCAGAAGGGGGGUUGUAGCUGCUGUGUUUGGGCAGUGCCCAGCACAGGAUGCCCCAGGAGGGGAUUGGGUACAGAGUGAGUGAUCAUUCCUCCUUCUCUUCUCCUUCCCUCCUCACCCCCAUCAGCUCCAUUUGCUCAGUGUUGGCUCUGGCUUGAGUUUGAUUUUUGCCUCGUUCAGAAACACUUCCCUUAAGAGAACCAAAACACAAAAAGCUGAGGAUGCUUCCAUUGCCUUUUCCCCCCAUAAUAUGGAGUUUUAAGUGGCCUCACUCGAGAGGGACCAAUCAAGUCUCCGCCUGAGAAGCUCAGCAAACAGCUGCCACCCCAAGUCACCACUAAUGACAACACUGAAUCCUCCUUUGUCGUGGGUUUUCAUCCAGCUGUUCCCUAACUCUGAAAGGGACCAUCAAAGGCAGGUUCUAUGUUUAUCCAUCACUUACAAAGCCAUGAGUGAGUUUUUCUUUUGCCCUUCAAAGCCUUUGUCUCUGGAAAUCAGUGGUGAGGAUGGAACGAGCUGGAAUCCAUCCUAGAUUGAUGAGGUGCCUGGCACUGCCAGCACCCCUUCCCUUCCCAAACCUUUCCAAACCUUCCCAAACCUUCCCUUCCCUUCCCUUUCCCUUUCCCUUUCCCUUUCCCUUUCCCUUUCCCUUUCCCUUUCCCUUUCCCUUUCCCUUUCCCUUUCCCUUUCCCUCCUCACCAGCGAUUCCCUUCCUCACCCAUCAGCGUGGUGGUGACUGGUCCGAUGGGCAGCCACUGCCUCUCUCCACCUGGGAAAAGGCAGGGUGGGAAUUCCAACCCCCUUGGAUACCCGUGGAGUCAGUGACUUUCAAGCUUUUAUGGGACAACUUUAACUGAAGAGGGGGGAAAUAACGUCUUGAGUAAGAAAACAGCUGAGAAGCUUCAUGACUGGGGAAGACUUCCAGAGAUUUAUUUUUAGAAUCCUGAACAACUGGAGAUGAACUAUUUUCCUUCAGACACCUCUUUCCAGUAAAACAUUUGUGACACAUCCCACGGGCUGGGGGGAGAGAACUGCUCCAUCCCUGCACAUCAGAAGACACAAUCACUUUUUAAAACUGGUUUGCUUGUUUUUUUUCCUCCUGAAAUAGUUGAAAUAGUUGAGCCUGUUCAGCCAGACCCAGGCUGAGGCAGUGACAGCAUGAUUUGACACAAUUUAUUCUGAGCAAGCUUUGCUUGCAGUUUUUAUCUCAGGGAUAACUUUCUCCCUGAAAUGGUGCUAAAUCCCAUGAAAAACAGCAGAUCCCUAUGCAGGAUCAAGGGACUCUGUUUGUUUAAGUGAAUCUCUAACAAUUCCAGGCAGGUUUGUCUGAGCUCUUGGAUGUUUUCUGUUGAGAGUGUGGACGUGAUUCCUCAUGGUUAAAUCCCAAAUACAUCAGUGGAACAAGGGACCAUCACACCCCCCCCCUCCAGCUGCUCAAACCUUUGUAUGGACCAAUAAAAUAUGUUAAGACAGAGUCUGA